AGCGAACGCUGGCGGCAGGCCUAACACAUGCAAGUCGAACGAACUCUUCGGAGUUAGUGGCGGAAGGGUGAGUAACAUGAGGGAACGUGCCUUUUGGAUCGGGAUAGCUCAGGGCAACUGGUGCUAAUACCGAAUGUGAACUACGGGCGAAAGAUUAAUCGCCCUUGGAGCAGUCAGAGUCUGAUUAGCUAUUUGGUGAGGUAACGGCUAGCUAAGGCUACAAUCAGUAGCUGGUCUGAGAGGAUGCCCCACAACACUGAGAACGAGCCACGUCACGGAGCACGACGUGAGGCCGCAGUUGGGAAGUUUGCACAAUGGGCGAAGGAGCGACGCAGCCAUGCCGUGUAAAUGAUGUAGUUGAUAGGAUUGUUAAACUCUUUCGCACGGGAUCAUAAUGACGGUACCCAGAGAAGAAGCCCCGGCUAACUCCGUG
rnacentral:rRNA from 1 species